rnacentral:rRNA from 1 species
UACGUAGGGUGCGAGCGUUGUUCGGAAUUACUGGGCGUAAAGGGCGCGUAGGCGGCACGGCAAGUCGGGAGUGAAAGGCCUGGGCUCAACCGAGGAACUGCUUUCGAGACUGCCGAGCUAGAGUGCGGAAGGGGCAACUGGAAUUCCCAGUGUAGCGGUGAAAUGCGUAGAUAUUGGGAAGAACACCUGAGGCGAAGGCGGGUUGCUGGGCCGACACUGACGCUGAGGCGCGAAAGCCAGGGGAGCAAACGGG